AGUGUGUGUGUGGCUCAAUAGUAGAGCAUCUGCUUGGCAUGUGGAAAGUUCCAGGUUCAAUCCCUGGCAUCUCUA
rnacentral:tRNA from 1 species